rnacentral:rRNA from 1 species
UACGGAGGGUGCAAGCGUUAUCCGGAUUUACUGGGUUUAAAGGGUGCGUAGGUGGGUAGGUAAGUCAGUGGUGAAAUCUUCAAGCUUAACUUGGAAACUGCCAUUGAUACUAUUUAUCUUGAAUACUUUGGAGGUAAGCGGAAUAUGUCAUGUAGCGGUGAAAUGCUUAGAUAUGACAUAGAACACCAAUUGCGAAGGCAGCUUACUACACAGUGAUUGACACUGAGGCACGAAAGCGUGGGGAGUCAAACAGGAAU